rnacentral:lncRNA from 1 species
GAAAAUGGAAGUUAAAAAAUUAUAUAAGAGAGUUAAAAAAUUGGAGGACAUUUUUAAUUUUUGGAGAAUGGGAACUUCGUUUUUCUUUAUCCAUUAAUAAAUAAAAUAUUUUCAAUUGUUUUCUUGACAAGAAAAUAUCUUUACAACCAUCCUACAUUUUAUUGGCGUGCCAUAAUAUUUCUAAGGACAUCAUCAUUUCAAUUCAAUCCACGCGAAAGAAAAUAAAAUAAAAUCCAAAACCCAUACAAACCUCAUAUCCUUCAUUCGUUCAUUCAAUUCAACUAAACAAACAGUUGGGAAGGAUGAGAGAUUUUGUGAUCCUCGAUUGUUCCAUCAUCACUCCUCCUCACAACUCAAAAUCCUCGCAUUGUUCACCAUAUAACGCGUACUUCUGACUUUUGACAUCAACGUCUUGGACAUCCAUCCACUGACCCCAUCCAUAGUUUAUCAGAAUGUUUUCUAUAAGUUAUUUUUAAUUCUAAGCAUAUUUUUGAUAUUUGUUCCUUAGCAAAACAAAAUUGUUUGUUCUUUCCUUCAAGUUCAAUAAAAAUUGUUGCAAAAUUUGAUUUAAUAUAUUGUGAUAUUUGGGGAGGGGACCAUACAAAAUUUUCACUCAUUCAAGGGCUUGUUACUUUCUUGUCAUUAUCAAUGAUUUUAGUUGCUUCACAUGGGUACAUCCUAUGAGUUUCAAAUCUCAUACCCCAAAUAUAAUAAAAUCAUUUUUUGCUUGGGUUAAAACUUAAUUCAACCAAGACAUUAAGAUUUUACACUUCGAUAAUGGGAAUGAAUUCACAUCAAUGUGCCUUUUAUUUGAUGAACAUGACAUUAUCUUUCAUCACACACGUGCAUAUACCCCUAACUAAAUGGAAUGGUCGAACGUAAGCACCGUCACCUUUUAAAUAUAUCUUGUGCUAUAUGUUUUCAAGCCAACCUACCUUUGCAAUUUUAAAGGAGAGAGUGUCCAAGCAACAUGUUACCUCAUUAACCACUUACCCAUAACUUUACUUUCCCAUAAACCUCCAUAUGAGUGUCUACACAAAUCUCCACCUAAUUAUUCCAAUCUCCGGGUCUUUGGUUGCCUAUGUUAUGCCACAAACCUUACCCAUAACAACAAAUUUGAUUAUCAAGCACGACAUUGCAUUCUGAUCGAUUAUCCUCUUGGACAAAAGGGAUAUUAUGUUUACGACCUUGAAGGCAAAGUUUUUUUACCUCUCGAGAUGCCACAUUCCAUGAACAUAUGUUCCCGUUACACAAAAUCCCAGUUGAAAAAACAAGAUUACAACAAUAUUGUCCUACCCCUCCUUAAUGAUCUGAUUACUUUUCUUGAGCAUAGUCCUAUCCAUUUCCACUCACCAAAUACAAGCAGAUCCCUCACCCAACACAACUUAAUCCCACACAACACCUACACCUACACAUAUCCCAUUAUAAGCCUACCAUUAGUGCCCUGCAUAUACCACCACCAGUCCCUUACCCGUGCCUUCCAUCAUGACACCUUUAUUGGAGGAUCAUUCAUAUUUAGAGGUCACCUUUUACUCUAAUCACCCAUUUGCCCCUCUGAUACCACCAUUUUAAUCUCCAUCAACCACUUCAUCACAACAACAACACAUACAACAAGACAUCCCCGACCUUUGUCAUUCAUACAACACUUCCCGACCUCCACCUUAUCUCAGAGAUUUCAAAAUGUACCAUGUUAACGUCUUAGGCCAUAGUGACUCCCAAUCUUCCACGUCUAGCACUCACUAUCCAUUGCAAUGAUAUGUUUCUUACUCUGGUUUAUCUUAUACAUAUCACUCAUUUGUGAUUAACAUAUCACUCUUGAUUGAGCCCACAAUGUAUCAACAUGCAUGUCAUGAUCCCAACUGGGAUGUCGUUAUGAACUUUGAAAUUUGGGCCCUAAAGGACAAUGAAACGUGAUCCAUAGUUCCACUACCUCUUGGCCUACAACUUAUCUGCUGUAAAUGGAUAUUUAAGAUCAAAUAUAAUGUUCAUGAUACAAAUGAAAUAUCACAAAGCUUGAUUUGUUGCCAAAGGUUUCAUCCAAUAUGAAGACAUUAAUUAUAACGAUACAUUUGCACUAAUUGCCAAAUUAAUCAUUGAACAUUGCUUAUUAAUCAUGGUUGUUGUUCGACAUUGACCUAAAAAAAACACUAGAAAUUUUAGAAGAAAUUUGACCACUUAGAGCAAAACCAACUAUUGUCCUUAUGGAAUCCAACUUAAUGUCGACAGAAAAUGGAAGCUAAAAAAAUGAUAGAAGAGAGUUAAAAAAUUGGAGGACAUUUUUAAUUUUUAGAGAAUGGGAAAUUGGUUUUUCUUACCCACUAAUAAGUAGAGUAAAAUAUUUUCAGUUGUUUUCUUGAGAAGAAAAUAUCUUUAGAACCAUCCUAGAGUUUAUUGGAAUGCGAUAAUAUUCCUAAGGACACCAUCAUUUCAAUUCAACCCCAUAUCCUUCAUUCAUUCACUCAAUUCAACUAAACAAACGGUUGGCGAAGGAUGAGAGAUUUUGUGAUCCUCGGUUCUUCCAUCAUCA